CUCCCCCGCGCCCCGGCCCCGGCGCAGCUCCCUCCCCGACGGUCCCAGGCAAAUUUGUCAACAAUUCGCAGCCACUCUGGUAAUUGCAUUCCUGGAAUCCGCAGCGAUGGAUGCGCAGAUAGGGAGGGAGGAGGGAGGAGAGAGGGAGGGAGCCUCGCUGCUGCCCGCGGCGCCCCGGCCCCCGCUCCCUUCUCCCACGCGUGCCCCCCCCCGGUGACGGGGGGUCGCUGGGGACCCCACUCGUGCCCGCUCCCCUGCUCGCCCCCCCCAGCUCCUCUCGGCAGCCCCGGCGUCCUGCCCCGGCCCCGAAAAUAUGCAGGGCUUUGCGGCGGCGCCGAGAAGCGGGACAAAGUUUAACUUCUCCGCUGGCAGCCGGAGAAUAAGCGGCGGGCAGAAUUGGAGCAAAAGAUCUGAUUUGCUGAAUUCUGCUCUUUGAUUUGUGUGUUUGUGUGUUAUUGCUACCGCUAAGGUUGUUGCCAACCUCAAUUAGAUCACAAAUGAGAUCAGUUUAAUUCAGCUCCCAAACUGUGACCUGACCAUGGUCUGAAAGUAUUCAAACCCGCGUUUUAAGCCUUCCUUUGAUUUCCGAAAGGAAUACUGCAUGCUUGGUCAUUCAUACAAAUAACAUAAAACGUAAUUAUGGGAUGAUUUGGCAGAUGACGUCCCUGCCAAGCGGCUCUCCCUGCCAGCCGCCGCGGUGCUGGCCCGGUGGCGGUGCGGGGCUGAGCGCCCCGUCGGAGCCCCGAGGGGCUGCGGGGGACAGGCGACAGCGGCGUGGGCACCGCACGGCCCCCCCCGGCCGGGAGCUGCUGCCUCGCCUGGGAGGGGAGAGGAUCCGCGCCAGCGAACCUCCGGGAGGCUGCGACAAAGGGAGCUUGCAGCUUGACACACGGAAUGCAAAUGUAGCCUGCCGGCGGUGAAUGGGCUGAAUUGUGAUUAAGAAGAAGAAGAGCUCCUUUCUUUGUUCUCCCCUCAGGGGAUGUUUACUGGGAGAGACACAGCGGAUCAGAUAUGAAAGGCAUUCAGGUCAGCAUUGAUGUGAGCGAAAGUGAAAUCAUACCUAAGGCAUUCAAAAGACCGCCGUGUCAGGGGUUCAGCUAACGGUGCAUCUACUGUGUGUGUCUUCCCUGGUAGGCACAAAAAAAAAAUAAAAAUAAAAAAAAUCUCUCCACAAACAGGCUUUUUUUUUUUUUUUUUUUUAAAUUACAACAAAAAUUAUAGAGAGGGGAGGGAAGAAAAAAACAGAACACAAAACUUUUCCCUCGCUUUACCUCCCCAGGACCUGGGGCUCUUUUCCCUUCCUGGCCCGUGGACGGAACAGGUCAACUCGUGUUAAUCGUACCGUCGUCGUUUUUAGGGGGGAAAGGAGCUCGUCUGAAAGGCGAGCCGUUAUUUUCAGGCGGACCUGCAUGUGCUGGGUGUGCGCACAGCCUCUCUCCCCGCACGCCUAGCUAGGUGCACACGCAUGCACAGAUCCCCCCGCAUCUGCGAGGCUCAGCUAGUCGGGUACGAAACGCAGGCAGUCGUUUCUCGCCUCCCUCAGAAAGCAGCUUCUGUGCUGAAGGACAGGGUGGCAUACGCAAACAGCACAGCACACCUUAAAAACCAAGCUUCUAGUGACUUUGCAACUCCUAGGAGCACUUUGCUGGAAGCUCGCAGCGUAAGAGGACGGCAAGCGCAGCCCUAAGAAGUUGGUACACAGCUAUUCGAGUUAAACUGCCUCAAGAAGUCCAGGCAUUGUCCUUUCUUUUUUUCAUCAAAAAUGCUUAAUCAAGAAAUAUUUGGACCUUACUUUUUUAUUUUUAUUUCUUUUUAAGUUUACGCUUCUCGCAGCCUGAAUAUUCUCUCCCUAGACUUUCCAAGCGGUUAGCUGACGCUGUUGGCAUAAACAGAGAUAUGUAAAUACACAGGGAAAAAAUCGCAAAUUACAGCUAAGCAUACAAAGAGUUAGGAGGUGGCUGCAUUUACAGAGGCUGAAAUGAAAAUGAAAACCACAGAACAUGAAAAAAAAAAAAAAGGAGCCUAAAAAAUUAAGGAGCAGGACUGGAUGCAGCGUGCAGUAACCAUCCCCUCCGUUCUGAAUUUGUUUACACCUUCAGAGCCUUAGUUAAAAUAUCUUGUUUGUCUAAUGCUCACAUCUGCUUUAAUGGUGACGUUUAAUUCUGAAAUAUUUUCAACUAGUGUUUCUGCCUCACAGAUUUCUCUCCUUUUUCUCCGUACUCUAAAAAGACAACUAAAGAGCAAUCAAAAAGGUGUCUGACUUGGCCAUUCAGACAAUUGCACCCUUGUGGGAAUGCUGGAAUGAAUGGUACAGUGGACACCCCAGCACUAUUGACGUUAUAAACAUGUAAAUGAAACACAUUAGGGCAGACAAUCAAUUGUCUGUGAGCACUGCAAACCUGCACUCCCUUUCUAUGUGACAGGCACAAAAUAGUGUCUACCUUGGGAAGCCAUGGUCUUGGAGAAAAAAGGACAAAGAGUUCUCUUUCACAGAGGAGAAAAUGCACCUUAAAAGCACUGGGAUAAUGCAGAUGCCAAAAACUGUUGGGAGGCGAAGAAUUUCCUAUUUCUUGGAAUGAAUGUGAGGCUGCUGUAAAAGAAUCAACACCCUGCCUUCCACUCUAAAGGGAGACACACAUUUUUCUUGGGCGAUAUUACCAGCCUGUCCUGAGCCUGCAUCUCGGUCUUCCGUCUAUUUUCCCUACCUUGGGCACUUGGCUUCGUAUCGUUAUCAAUAAUUAACUUGUAACCGUUUCCUUUUUUUUUAUUUAUUUAUUUUAUUUUUUAAUUUUUCAUAUUUGGCUUUGCCAGGCACCGAAUGUAUUUUCUCACAGCAGUCAGAGGUUCCCCCAAAAGUUUCCUCGCGUGCAAUAACCAGCACCCAGUGAGCGCAGCACCCUCACGAAUGGCAAACGGCGAAGCGGGCGCUAAUCUCCAAAUUCCCUGCUCCUCUCCAAACUCCGAAUAAAACGAAUAGACCAGCCCUGCCACGGAGAGCAGCCUCCUCUGCUCCCUGCCACGGCUCGCUCCGGCCACCACGGUGCGCGGAGCGGUGCAGCGGGGGAUGCGCUGCGCCCUGCCCGCAUUUUGCGCCUCGAUUUUUAAUACCUAUCUCCAGGUGCUUCCCUCGACGGAGCGCAUUUUAUUCCCAGCCGAGGAAGCCGCUCUCCCGAGCAAUCUGCUCGCAACGGAUUCGGCCCCCCGGCAAGGUGCCGAGGCAAGGCAGCGCUCCCAGGUGCCCUCUCCGGCUUGCGCCACCUGAAUGUCGCGACAGGCAGCCUCCCCGCUGCCUCGCCAGCCUCCCCCGGGCUGCCCCCAAACUUCUCCCGGCUGGGAAGGCGAGCCUCGCUUCCCACUCACUAAAGGCAGCAGCCGGGCUCGUUUUUCUCUUUGGCAAGUGGGAAGUGAAGUGGGUUUCCCCCCUUCCCCACAUCCCCUGAAGGAGGCUGGGUGUCUUUUGGGGAAAGGCUCCGGGCACUGCGACCGCGGCCGCUCGGCUGCUGCGGGCUCAGCUCGGCUCAGACGCCCUGAAAGCAGUGAACUUUCUCCCUUUUCUUCGCAACUGGAAGCGAGAUGGCAAAGGAAUCAAAGGGAGCUGUUUACUGAAACUUUGGAGUAAAUUAGCUCCAACUUUCCCCCCUCCCCCUUUCCCCUCCUUCCAGGGGAUUUUAAUUUUUUUCUUUUUUUUGAGGGGGGGGGGGGGUCAGGG